rnacentral:rRNA from 1 species
UACGAAGGGGGCUAGCGUUGCUCGGAAUCACUGGGCGUAAAGGGUGCGUAGGCGGUUCUUUAAGUCAGGGGUGAAAUCCUGGAGCUCAACUCCAGAACUGCCUUUGAUACUGGCAAUCUCGAGUCCGGGAGAGGUGAGUGGAACUGCGAGUGUAGAGGUGAAAUUCGUAGAUAUUCGCAAGAACACCAGUGGCGAAGGCGGCUCACUGGCCCGGUACUGACGCUGAGGUGCGAAAGCGUGGGGAGCAGACAGG